UGGCGACCGGCGCACGGGUGAGUAACACGUAUCCAACCUGCCGAUGACUCGGGGAUAGCCUUUCGAAAGAAAGAUUAAUACCCGAUGGCAUAGUUCUUCUGCAUGGUAGAACUAUUAAAGAAUUUCGGUCAUCGAUGGGGAUGCGUUCCAUUAGGUUGUUGGCGGGGUAACGGCCCACCAAGCCUUCGAUGGAUAGGGGUUCUGAGAGGAAGGUCCCCCACAUUGGAACUGAGACACGGUCCAA
rnacentral:rRNA from 1 species